rnacentral:rRNA from 1 species
UACGUAGGGUGCAAGCGUUGUCCGGAUUUAUUGGGCGUAAAGAGCUCGUAGGCGGUUUGUCGCGUCGGGUGUGAAAACCAGCAGCUUAACUGCUGGCCUGCAUUCGAUACGGGCAGACUUGAGGACGGUAGGGGAGACUGGAACUCCUGGUGUAGCGGUGGAAUGCGCAGAUAUCAGGAAGAACACCGGUGGCGAAGGCGGGUCUCUGGGCCGUUCCUGACGCUGAGGAGCGAAAGCGUGGGUAGCAAACAGG